UUCUUGGUCAUUUAGAGGAAGUAAAAGUCGUAACAAGGUUUCCGUAGGUGAACCUGCGGAAGGAUCAUUAAAGAAAUUUAAUAAUUUUGAAAAUGGAUUUUUUUGUUUUGGCAAGAGCAUGAGAGCUUUUACUGGGCAAGAAGACAAGAGAUGGAGAGUCCAGCCGGGCCUGCGCUUAAGUGCGCGGUCUUGCUAGGCUUGUAAGUUUCUUUCUUGCUAUUCCAAACGGUGAGAGAUUUCUGUGCUUUUGUUAUAGGACAAUUAAAACCGUUUCAAUACAACACACUGUGGAGUUUUCAUAUCUUUGCAACUUUUUCUUUGGGCAUUCGAGCAAUCGGGGCCCAGAGGUAACAAACACAAACAAUUUUAUCUAUUCAUUAAAUUUUUGUCAAAAACAAGAAUUUUCGUAACUGGAAAUUUUAAAAUAUUAAAAACUUUCAACAACGGAUCUCUUGGUUCUCGCAUCGAUGAAGAACGCAGCGAAAUGCGAUACGUAAUGUGAAUUGCAGAAUUCCAUGAAUCAUCGAAUCUUUGAACGCACAUUGCGCCCCUUGGUAUUCCAGGGGGCAUGCCUGUUUGAGUGUCAUUUCCUUCUCAAACAUUCUGUUUGGUAGUGAGUGAUACUCUUUGGAGUUAACUUGAAAUUGCUGGCCUCUUCAUUGGAUGUUUUUUUUCCAAAGAGAGGUUUCUCUGCGUGCUUGAGGUAUAAUGCAAGUACGGUCGUUUUAGGUUUUACCAACUGCGGCUAAUCUUUUUUUAUACUGAGCGUAUUGGAACGUUAUCGAUAAGAAGAGAGCGUCUAGGCGAACAAUGUUCUUAAAGUUUGACCUCAAAUCAGGUAGGAGUACCCGCUGAACUUAAGCAUAUCAAUAAGCGGAGGAA
rnacentral:rRNA from 1 species